rnacentral:rRNA from 1 species
CCUACGGGUGGCAGCAGUAGGGAAUCUUCCACAAUGGACGAAAGUCUGAUGGAGCAACGCCGCGUGAGUGAAGAAGGGUUUCGGCUCGUAAAGCUCUGUUGGUAGUGAAGAAAGAUAGAGGUAGUAACUGGCCUUUAUUUGACGGUAAUUACUUAGAAAGUCACGGCUAACUACGUGCCAGCAGCCGCGGUAAUACGUAGGUGGCAAGCGUUGUCCGGGUUUAUUGGGCGUAACGCGAGUGCAGGGGGUUCAAUAAGUCUGAUGUGACAGCCUUCGGCUCAACCGGAGAAUUGCAUCAGAAACUGUUGAACUUGAGUGCAGAAGAGGAGAGUGGAACGCCAUGUGUAGC